AUACGAAAGGUGCAAGCGUUGUUCGGAUUUACUGGGCGUAAAGAGAGUGUAGGUUGUUUAUUAAGUCGGAUGUGAAAUCCCGGGGCUCAACCUCGGAACUGCAUUCGAUACUGGUAGACUAGAGUUCGGGAGGGGAGUGGAAUUCCGUGUGUAGCAGUGAAAUGCGUAGAUAUACGGAGGAACACCUGAGGCGAAGGCGGCUUACUGGACCGAUACUGACACUGAGACUCGAAAGCGUGGGUAGCAAACAGGAUUAGAUACCCCGGUAGUCC
rnacentral:rRNA from 1 species